AGUUAAGUGACUAAGCGUACACGGUGGAUGCCUAGGCAAUCAGAGGCGAAGAAGGACGUGCUAAUCUGCGAAAAGCUUGGAUGAGUUGAUAAGAAGCGUUUAAUCCAAGAUAUCCGAAUGGGGAAACCCAGUAGAUGAAGAAUCUACUAUCACUUGUUGAAUACAUAAGCAAGUGAAGCAAACCGGGAGAACUGAAACAUCUAAGUACCCCGAGGAAAAGAAAUCAACCGAGAUUUUGUAAGUAGCGGCGAGCGAAAGCGAAAGAGCCAGUGAGUGAUAGCAGCAAAGACAGAAGAAUUGGCUGGGAAGCCAAGCGACACAGGGUGAUAGCCCCGUAUUCGAAGUUUUUGUUGUGGUACUAAGCUUGCAACAAGUAGGGCGGGACACGAGAAAUCCUGUUUGAAGAUGGGGGGACCAUCCUCCAAGGCUAAAUACUCCUGAUUGACCGAUAGUGAACCAGUACUGUGAAGGAAAGGCGAAAAGAACCCCAGUGAGGGGAGUGAAAUAGAACCUGAAACCGUGUACGUACAAGCAGUGGGAGCCCUUUGGGGUGACUGCGUACCUUUUGUAUAAUGGGUCAGCGACUUAUAUUUUGUAGCGAGGUUAACUGAAUAAGGGAGCCGAAGGGAAACCGAGUCUUAACUGGGCGGAUAGUUGCAAGGUAUAGACCCGAAACCCGGUGAUCUAGCCAUGGGCAGGUUGAAGGUUGGGUAACACUAACUGGAGGACCGAACCGA
rnacentral:rRNA from 1 species